rnacentral:rRNA from 1 species
GAUCGUUUAUUUGAUGGAUGGUGUUACUGCCGGAUGGAUAACCGUAGUAAUUCUAGAGCUAAUACAUGCGACUGGAGUCCCGACUGUGAAUUCACGUUCUCAGAAAGGAUGUAUUUAUUAGAUUCAAAACCGGACCGGCCAGCCCCUGCGCCUCUGGCCCUUUUACCGGGGUCCAGCUGGACGGGUGGUAGGCCGUGAUUCCAAGGUGAUUCACGAUAACUGAACGAAUCGACGUCUUUAACGGACGGUCGAUGCUUCAUUCAAAUCUCUGCCCUAUCAACUGUCGACGGUAAGGUAGUGGCUUACCGUGGUGACGACGGGUAACGGAGGAUC